rnacentral:rRNA from 1 species
UACCAUGCAGUCGAACGAUGAAGCCCAGCUUGCUGGGUGGAUUAGUGGCGAACGGGUGAGUAACACGUGAGUAACCUGCCCUUAACUCUGGGAUAAGCCUGGGAAACUGGGUCUAAUACCGGAUAGGAGCGUCCACCGCAUGGUGGGUGUUGGAAAGAUUUAUCGGUUUUGGAUGGACUCGCGGCCUAUCAGCUUGUUGGUGAGGUAAUGGCUCACCAAGGCGACGACGGGUAGCCGGCCUGAGAGGGUGACCGGCCACACUGGGACUGAGACACGGCCCAGACUCCUACGGGAGGCAGCAGUGGGGAAUAUUGCACAAUGGGCGCAAGCCUGAUGCAGCGACGCCGCGUGAGGGAUGACGGCCUUCGGGUUGUAAACCUCUUUCAGUAGGGAAGAAGCGAAAGUGACGGUACCUGCAGAAGAAGCACCGGCUAACUACGUGCCAGCAGCCGCGGUAAUACGUAGGGUGCGAGCGUUAUCCGGAAUUAUUGGGCGUAAAGAGCUCGUAGGCGGUUUGUCGCGUCUGUCGUGAAAGUCCGGGGCUUAACCCCGGAUCUGCGGUGGGUACGGGCAGACUAGAGUGCAGUAGGGGAGACUGGAAUUCCUGGUGUAGCGGUGGAAUGCGCAGAUAUCAGGAGGAACACCGAUGGCGAAGGCAGGUCUCUGGGCUGUAACUGACGCUGAGGAGCGAAAGCAUGGGGAGCGAACAGGAUUAGAUACCCUGGUAGUCCAUGCCGUAAACGUUGGGCACUAGGUGUGGGGACCAUUCCACGGUUUCCGCGCCGCAGCUAACGCAUUAAGUGCCCCGCCUGGGGAGUACGGCCGCAAGGCUAAAACUCAAGAAA